UCUGUACUCCCUCCAUCCCAAAAUUCUUGUCUUAAAUUUGUCUAAAUACGGAUGUAUCUAGUUACAUUUUAGUGUUAGAUACAUCCGUAUCUAAACAAAUGUAAGACAAGAAUUUUGGGACGGAGGGAAUACUAC
rnacentral:pre_miRNA from 1 species